GUAACAAUUGGUGCCUUUUAAUGUAACCAGCUGAGAGUUCUGUAGAUGGAAAGAGUUUAAUCAAUUCAGCUUGUUCAACUGAAUGUUAUAUAAAUUAACCUUGAAGCAUAAAGUAUUUGAAUUUUUCUUGGUGAAAUAAAAGGUUUUCUGUGUUUAUUUAUUAUUUUAUAUUAGUUCUCCUUAGCCUCGAUUACUCGGCAUGGAUAUUUAGUGUGUUUCAUUUCAGUCUCAACUUUGAAAUGGACUCAUUAUUGGGAAAGGCUGUUGUGGUGGAUUGAGUUUAUUUUGACGUUUAGAACUGAGACUAAAAUUUACAUUCAAGUGACGGGAUUUUUAUUUGUAGGUUUUGUAUAACUGGAAGGUUUACAAGGGUCUUAGUUUUCUUGCCAUGCUAGAGGAAAUUUUGGAAUGAAUUUGACCUGGUUGAGAAAUUCAGAGAUGUAGGAGAAUUGGUGUGGCUACUGUGCUUGGAUUAAAGUUUCCUUUCUUGCAGUCUAAGAGCCCUUAGUCCAUCCCAUCCUGAUGUUUAUUCUUAGUAUUUGCAUGGCCAUUUUUAUGUGAUGUCAUCAUAAUAAAGUUUGAUAGCUGCUCCAUGAAAGACACCUCUCUUAAAAGUAAAUUAGCAAACUACAAAGAGAGGAUGAAGAAGCUGAAGAAUUUU
rnacentral:misc_RNA from 1 species